UGCACAUCUGGAGCUGGGGCUCAUCAGCCUGAGGCCUUAGGCUCAGGAGCACAGAGCCCCGACACCCCCAGCCCUGCCCCGAGCUGGCCAAGCAGAGAGGAUCCUGACAGCGCCCCAAGGGCAGCACGGCCAGCAGGCUUCACCCGGGCUCCUCCAGGCCUCACAGUGACAUUAGUUCCAGGACAGCUGAGACUGCCUAACUCAGCCUUGUCGCUCUUGGAAGGCAGAGGACGCAGCACACGCGUGCCCCAGGAGACGGGACGUGAGCUAGUGAAUAGCAGGAAGCAGGAAGGCCGAGUUUAAAGAGUAGGAGCAGAGGAGGUGGAGCUUGGGCGGCACCAGCCCGUUGCGGGCCUUUCGGCUUAGGCAGGGAUGUGGCCCUAAGGGAGCAGGCCAGGGACGCUUUUCCACAACCGUGAGCAAUGGCCUCUCCCACAGACAGGAACACAGCAGCCAUCGCUGCAACCAGCACCAUGGCUCCCUGUCAAGGGAACGCUCUCAACAACCCAAGCAGCGACAGUCGCUCAUUUACUGUUUGUUCGGGAAACCAAAAGAAACUACGCUGUGAGAAGAGUCUCUGAGGCUGUGAGUGCUGUGCUGGGCUCUGGCUUUCCCUGCACUUCUACCCCAGUCUGUCCCGCGUCUGCCUGGGGACCCUGCCUGGCGCUGCUCUUGCCCGACUGACUGGGGGGCCAGGACUCUGGGGCUGCACCGAGUCCAGCCCACCGCUGCAGAUCAUCUGUAGAUGAUGGUUCCCCGAAGGCAGCACGGCGGUCAAUAGUUCUGUCCAGGCCACUUUCACACCGCGUAGUGGUCGCUGCAAGGGCCAGCUGCUCCGUGACCUGAAGUGUUUGUCACCCGCCCCAUUGCAGGAAAAGGUGCAGCCUCUCCCUACACGCCUAGGGUGGUCCCCGCCAGUGACCCCGCAGCGCGAGUGUCUGAGACACCCUAAGACAUUUCUCAGCUCUGCUGACCUGGCCCCUGGCCACCUGGGCCUGCCCUCCACACUUCAGAACCAGAAGGGGUGGAGCUGGCUUCACAGACCCUGCACUGCGUGACUCAGCUCGAGGGCCGGCUUGAUUCUCUGCCCUGGGCCCCUCUCCUGCAACACCCUGGUCCCAGCCCUUCGUGCCCGGUGCGAGUGGGGGUGAGGUGCUUACAGCAGGCAUUUUGUCACGUGGUGGGAAGCUGGCUGACUCAGGUCCUCUUCCCAUUGGAAGCCCUGGAGUCUGCCUGGGUUCGCCAGCCCCCAGCCUGAGGAGAGUGGAGCCUGGCUGUGAUGAAUCUAGCACAGACCCCCGGGCGGAGGCCAGCAUGCAGCAAGGUCGGGUCAGCACACGGAGUGCAGGAGCAGGUGGAGUCCUGGCCGUGCCUUGCAGAGCCUGGAGAGCCAAGAGUCAGCGCUGAAAUGCAGCCUGCAAGUGCCAGGAUCCCUGCCCUGGGGGAGGGAGGCAGUGGGCAGGAAAGGACUCUGGGCCCCACGACGGCGUGGACACAGCAGACACUGGCCACACUGACAGUAACUGCUUGAGGCUGCCCGGGCAGAGCUAGCAGGGCAGGCAGGCCAUGCACAGUAGCUGAGUGACAGCGGAGUGACACAAUGUAUCCUACCGGAGGGGACAAGUCACCACCUUAGGCACCAACUGGCAGCCGCCACCAUCCUACUUCCUAUCCCACGAGUCCGACCUCGGAGGCAGAGCCCAGCAGACCAUCCUUCUGGCCUGGCUUGUUCUUCUAGAGCAGCACCCUGAGCCAGGACACCUGCUGCAGGGUGCAUCUGUGAGGGCCGAGUCGGGAGAGGGUGUCUAUGCGCAGCCCCCACAAGAGGGGGCUCCAACCCCAGACGCUUCUCUGACAGUGCCAAGUGGGUUUGAGGCCACAGCCGACAGGCCUCCUGUCCUCCUGCCCCAGAGACCAGAUCCUCCAUCCGACCAGGCUCCGAGUUCCAGGCUGAGGACACCUGCCGCUCAGGCUUCCAGCUUCCCGGUGCAUGCUCAGCUGCUGCUUCUUCCCCACAAGACGACAAGCUAAAGUCAUGCCGUGGUAAUGCUGGGUUAAUACUCUGCCAGUAUCGUAAUACUCUGGUAAUGCUGUAGUACUGCUUUGUUAAUGCUUUGGUGAUACUCACUAAUACUGUAGUGAUGCUUUGUUAAUGCUUUUUGCUAAUGCUGUAGUAAUAAAUACAGAGUUUCCGCUGGAGAAAGUGGGAAGGUUCUGGAGAUGGAUGGUGACAGUGGCCACAGGACAGCAUGGAUGUGCUUAAUGCCAAGGGACAGCGCCCUGAGACAGGCAACUGUGCCUCUCUUGCAUUUUAGUGUGAGGAACAGGCUCGGGAUGCACCGUCACCACUGUGACGGCUCUGGCUCUUUCUGUGCCCCUCGUAGUGGCAGCUCUGAGCGCACCUGAGGGUUGGACUCCAUGACCUCGGUCCCCCAAAGACCCCUAGUAACCAUCCCCGUGGGGUGAGAAUUUCAUUACGAGGAGUGGGGAACAAACAGACCACAGAUGUGUGCUUUCAUCAUGAAAAGUGUGCUUCUAAAUUCUGAACUCAGACUGACAGCACCCUGGUGCAUUCCUGUAUUCCCAGUGCUCUGGGAGGCUGAACUCAGGGGGAUUGUGAGUUCUAGGGGAUUGUGGGUAACUUAGCAAGAUCUUAUCUUGUAAAUAACUUUUUAGACUCUGAGUUGGGGGGAUACUGGGCUCACCCCCAGCUCCUGAGCUGAGAGAUGGUAACCCACUGCCACUCCAGCCUCUGGGGAAUGCGUUGCCUUUAACUAAGAUGAACCGCUGCCCUGCACCAGUCCCUACUGCUGUCCCAGAACCAGCCUCUGAGGACUGACCUGCCGCAGGGUGGUCUGGGUGGUGCCUUCGUCCCCAGACCUCGGUGGGCCCGGUGGGACCCUACCUUCCCCUGCCGCUGGGCUGCCCUGGUCCCAAGAGUGCCCAUGAGUGGUGUUGCAGCCACACGGCUGCAUGGGAGCCCCAAGAUAAGGAGCCCCAACACAAGGGGCUGCAAGCCGAGCUGGGUUUGGCACAGUGGCGGCCGGGUACAGGUGCAGCUUCAGAUACGCACCACCUGGGCAGGGUGGGGCCCCGGCUUGUGUGCUGCUGGUGUCUUGCCUGCCCCUUCCUGCCCAAGCCCAGCCCUGGAGAGCUGGGCUCAGGAGACCAUCACACCCCAGCCAGGGCCGUCCACACCCUCACCGCCUCUGCUGCACGGCCCAGGGCUCGGGCUGAGGACGCGGCUGUUCCCAGCCUUGGGACUCCUCUUUCCAGGCAGACACCCUGGCACGGCAGAGGAGUUGAGCAGAGGGGUCUGCAGGAGCUGGGACUCUGUGGAGAGUGAAGAUGCCUGCGUGGGUGAAGGGGCCCUGUCCAGAGCGACCGGUCCCCCCCACACCGCCAGCCCUGGCUGACCCAGCCUGUGCCGAGCGGCCUGUCAGCUUUCGCUCUGAGCUUAACAAGCACUUUUAAUUCAUCAUUUUAAACGAGUGUCAGACCCACGGAAAGAGUUGAAAGUUCCAGUUGCAAGAAGGCCUGAAUGACUGCAGAAAUGAAAGGGUGAGCUUUAAAAAUAGAAGCUGGUGAGAAAGUGACAGCGCCGUGCGUUUGAUGGAGUGACUCGUGGGACGGCAGUUCAGCCCCAGGACGAGCGUGAGUCACUAGUGCCAGGGCUGCCUGCGCCUGUGCCCGCCCAGAGGCCCAGAGCGGCUGGACAUGGGUGGCUGAGAUGUGGGCCGGCGCCGGGGCCACUGGGCUUCCGUCGGGGCCCAGAGGUCAGUGGGUUCACCGUGUGCCCCAGAAGUGAGCCCCACGGGAGCAGGGGAUGGGGCAUCCGCAGAGCUUUCCCUGCUGCUGGCUCGAAAAAUAAUAACAAUGCUGUCUGAGACCUCAGGCACGGCAGCCACCGAGCAGGAAGAAUGAAUCAGAGCAAGACGGAUGGCGUCUUAGGGCAGCAGCAGCAGCUCUGGGGAGGAAGGCGGGCCGUUCCCAGGUUGAAGAACUGGGGAAAGGAACGGAUGGGAAGAUGCAGGAGCUGAGCGGGAGGCCGGCAGAGUCUCAGGUGCAGUCUGACACAGAGGAGGCCACCGAGGGGCCGUGAGCCCCAACGCUGGCCCAGAAGGUGCAGUGGUCACAGGUCAGAAAACAGGAAGGGGCCCGAGCCUCUCCCAGCACCGGGCAAGAGUCCCCCUCCGGGAGACCCCAAGGCCCUGGUCCUAGGAAAAGACCUGGAAGCAAGUGCCCUGUCCCCAAGCCUGGCAGAGAGGUGGCCAGGGAACAGGAGCCCUCGCGAAGGAGAGAGUGGCAGUCACCGUGAGAAAGGGAGUGGGAGACACACGCUGCAGCCCGGCCUCCGGCCUCCAUGGCGCCAGCAGAGUGGAUUCUCCCCCCAGGGCUCCAGGCAGAUGGCCCUGACCACUUCGUCCUCUUCCUGGCUCCCAUGCCCCUCGAGUGGUCCCAGAGGGAAGGCCUCAGGGAGGAGCUCCCAGAACCCAGGGGUGUUUAGAGUAAAUAAAAUGUGACUGGCGAGGUGCUGGGCUUCCUGAGGGGCUCAGCGGAGCGGGGGAGGGGGGGUCCCGGUUACCCCGGCCUGGGGGUGACUGAGGCUUUGCUUAAAGCCAGUCAGGGACAGUAAACAAAAGAGGCUCGGGGCACAGGGGUGAGCCUCACAGGCCCUGCUGCGGGCCCCAGAGCACAAAGCCUGCAGAAGAAAAGGAGUCCUGCAGCGGGCCUGCCACACCCACCCCGGCCUGAGUCGCUCCCAACACUGUGCUGCCCUACCGUCUCAGAAUUUGGGGUACUUGGGAUUGAACCCAGGACCUUUGCACUGAGCUACAUCCCACCCCUGUUUAUUAUUUUAUUUUGUUAGUUAGCUAGUUAAUUAUUGCAGUUCUAGGGACUGAACCCAAGGGCUUCACACUGAGCUUCAUGCCCAGGCCAUCUGGGAGGGGAGGAGACAGAGCUUUGCUAAAUCGCCCUGGUGAGACCCAAAUGUGCAGUCCUCCUGCAGGAGCCUCCAGAGUGCUGGGAUUUCAACCAUGUACCACCACGUCCACUCUUUUUAUUUCUUUAAUUUUUUAUUGAUUUUAUUGUAAGUUUUAUAAUACUGAAGAUGGAGCCAGGGUCUUGCACAAGCUAGGAAAGCACCUUACCGCGGACUAAAUCCUGAGUCCUGUUUAUCUAGAGACAGGAUCUCCCCAAAUUGCCCAGGCGAGCCUUGAAUGCCAAGUCCCUGCCUCAGCCCUCAGGCUUCCCCAGCCUUUUUAAAAACUGUUUUUAGUUGGAGACAGGAUCUUGCUAAAUCACUAACUUGCCCAGGCUGUCCUCCUGGAGGACUGACCUCAAGUCCUUGAACUUGAGAUCCUCCUGCCUCAGCCUCCCAGUGUGCUGGGAUUCCAGGUGUGCACCAUGACUUCCGACUUGUCUCAGACUUCUCCAGCCCAAUAACGAUAUGACCCGAUUCCUUGAAGUGACUCUCUUAAUGUGCACACAUGGGCCCCUGUCACUCUUGUAUAGGUAGCAUAAACAUCACACACACGCAUACAUCUGGUUGUGCUCCGUUAACAACUCUGACAGAUUCAUCUGCAUAGAAAAUACGGGAGCAAGGAGAGGACAGCGCAGGGACAGGAGAGCCUUGCAGGGGAGGAGCUGGCAGCUCGGGGUCAGGGCUGAGCCCGGGCCAGGCACUCUGCGCUAACCUCUUCCUCUGCACUACAUUGGAGUCUGGUGAGUGCAGUCAACACCUCACGCAUUCCACAGAGGGAGAAACAGGCACAGAGAAGCUAAUUAACUUGUCUCUGGCCACACAGCUGCCCUCCUCAGGUGCAGAAUCGGACCCAGGGCUGCAGAGCCCUGGCCCUGACGUGACCCAGGGGGUGAUGUGCAGUCUCAAAGCGAGGAGGGAAGGCGCUGGAGAGAGCUAAGGCCGUGCCCACCCUGCCAGGCGUUGAGGGUGCUGUCUGAAUCUCACCAUGAGAGCUCGAAAGCUCGAGGGCCAAUCAGACACCCAGGGACGCGCAGGGAAACAGAGAGGCUGGGAGCCGCUGUUGGGCAACUCAGCCAGCUGCCAGUCCGAUGGGACAAGGGUGGAGGUGCUGGGGACGCAGCGAGGCUGGCUCUGCGGGGACCUCGCCCCUCCAGGGCUGUGGCUGCAGUCGGCCCCAGGUCCCCUGACUUGGGGGCCGGGCUUGGGAAGCCUCAGAGUGCAGUGGAGUCCCCAGGGCCACCCCUUCCCGGCCCUGGGCUGCCCUCGAUCCCCUGGCAGCUUCAAGACUCACUCCAAACUGGUGUGGUGGCGAAUCAGUCACCCCAGCUCCUCGGGAGGCUGAGACAAGAGGAGCCCCCAUUCCAGGCCAGCCUGGGAAACUUCCUGAGAUCCCGGCUCUAGGCAGAUGCUUUUAAAUUUGUCUCAUCGUGAGCAGAUAAAAUGCCAUCGAAAUGACUGACAGAAUUAUCGUAUGCAGCGCUGUGCUUUGAUCUUGGGGAGAUAGUUCUCGUUCUCCUACAGAGCUAAGUUUUGCAUGCACAGGGUGAACACACGGGGCAGCUCCUCUGCUCUUCUCAGCUGUACUGACGCUGGCUGUGGUGACCAGACCAGCACAGUUAUUCACAAGUUGUCUACUUUUUCCAUUUAUUAAUUCUGCUGAGCUGUUGUUGAAUAUGUUCUUUUCUCUGAUUCUUUGCAUUGAUUUGAUGUUUAAAGCAUUUUGCAUACUGUUUAUCAUGACAAG